rnacentral:rRNA from 1 species
UGAGGAAUAUUGGACAUUGGGGGCAACCCUGAUCCAGCCAUGCCGCGUGAGUGAUGAAGGCCUUAGGGUUGUAAAACUCUUUCGAUGGUGAAGAUAAUGACGGUAACCAUUAAAGAAGCCCCGGCUAAUUUCGUGCCAGCAGCCGCGGUAAUACGAAAGGGGCUAGCGUUGUUCGGAAUUACUGGGCGUAAAGCGCGCGUAGGCGGGCGGUCAAGUUGGGGGUGAAAUCCCGGGGCUCAACCCCGGAACUGCCUCCAAAACUGGCAGCCUAGAGGAUGUGAGAGGAUAGUGGAAUUCCGAGUGUAGAGGUGAAAUUCGUAGAUAUUCGGAAGAACACCAGUGGCGAAGGCGACUGUCUGGCACAUUUCUGACGCUGAGGUGCGAAAGCGUGGGGAGCAAACAGGAUUAGAUACCCCCGUAGUCC